rnacentral:rRNA from 1 species
CGGGACACGUGGUAUCCUGUCUGAAUAUGGGGGGACCAUCCUCCAAGGCUAAAUACUCCUGACUGACCGAUAGUGAACCAGUACCGUGAGGGAAAGGCGAAAAGAACCCCGGCGAGGGGAGUGAAAAAGAACCUGAAACCGUGUACGUACAAGCAGUGGGAGCCUCUUAAUGGGGUGACUGCGUACCUUUUGUAUAAUGGGUCAGCGACUUAUAUUCUGUAGCAAGGUUAACCGAAUAGGGGAGCCGAAGGGAAACCGAGUCUUAACUGGGCGUUAAGUUGCAGGGUAUAGACCCGAAACCCGGUGAUCUAGCCAUGGGCAGGUUGAAGGUUGGGUAACACUAACUGGAGGACCGAACCGACUAAUGUUGAAAAAUUAGCGGAUGACUUGUGGCUGGGGGUGAAAGGCCAAUCAAACCGGGAGAUAGCUGGUUCUCCCCGAAAGCUAUUUAGGUAGCGCCUCGUGAAUUCAUCUCCGGGGGUAGAGCACUGUUUCGGCAAGGGGGUCAUCCCGACUUACCAACCCGAUGCAAACUGCGAAUACCGGAGAAUGUUAUCACGGGAGACACACGGCGGGUGCUAACGUCCGUCGUGAAGAGGGAAACAACCCAGACCGCCAGCUAAGGUCCCAAAGUCAUGGUUAAGUGGGAAACGAUGUGGGAAGGCCCAGACAGCCAGGAUGUUGGCUUAGAAGCAGCCAUCAUUUAAAGAAAGCGUAAUAGCUCACUGGUCGAGUCGGCCUGCGCGGAAGAUGUAACGGGGCUAAACCAUGCACCGAAGCUGCGGCAGCGACACUGUGUGUUGUUGGGUAGGGGAGCGUUCUGUAAGCCUGCGAAGGUGUGCUGUGAGGCAUGCUGGAGGUAUCAGAAGUGCGAAUGCUGACAUAAGUAACGAUAAAGCGGGUGAAAAGCCCGCUCGCCGGAAGACCAAGGGUUCCUGUCCAACGUUAAUCGGGGCAGGGUGAGUCGACCCCUAAGGCGAGGCCGAAAGGCGUAGUCGAUGGGAAACAGGUUAAUAUUCCUGUACUUGGUGUUACUGCGAAGGGGGGACGGAGAAGGCUAUGUUGGCCGGGCGACGGUUGUCCCGGUUUAAGCGUGUAGGCUGGUUUUCCAGGCAAAUCCGGAAAACCAAGGCUGAGGCGUGAUGACGAGGCACUACGGUGCUGAAGCGACAAAUGCCCUGCUUCCAGGAAAAGCCUCUAAGCAUCAGGUAACAUCAAAUCGUACCCCAAACCGACACAGGUGGUCAGGUAGAGAAUACCAAGGCGCUUGAGAGAACUCGGGUGAAGGAACUAGGCAAAAUGGUGCCGUAACUUCGGGAGAAGGCACGCUGAUAUGUAGGUGAAGCGACUUGCUCGUGGAGCUGAAAUCAGUCGAAGAUACCAGCUGGCUGCAACUGUUUAUUAAAAACACAGCACUGUGCAAACACGAAAGUGGACGUAUACGGUGUGACGCCUGCCCGGUGCCGGAAGGUUAAUUGAUGGGGUUAGCGGCAACGCGAAGCUCUUGAUCGAAGCCCCGGUAAACGGCGGCCGUAACUAUAACGGUCCUAAGGUAGCGAAAUUCCUUGUCGGGUAAGUUCCGACCUGCACGAAUGGCGUAAUGAUGGCCAGGCUGUCUCCACCCGAGACUCAGUGAAAUUGAACUCGCUGUGAAGAUGCAGUGUACCCGCGGCAAGACGGAAAGACCCCGUGAACCUUUACUAUAGCUUGACACUGAACAUUGAGCCUUGAUGUGUAGGAUAGGUGGGAGGCUUUGAAGUGUGGACGCCAGUCUGCAUGGAGCCGACCUUGAAAUACCACCCUUUAAUGUUUGAUGUUCUAACGUUGGCCCCUAAUCGGGGUUGCGGACAGUGUCUGGUGGGUAGUUUGACUGGGGCGGUCUCCUCCUAAAGAGUAACGGAGGAGCACGAAGGUUGGCUAAUCCUGGUCGGACAUCAGGAGGUUAGUGCAAUGGCAUAAGCCAGCUUGACUGCGAGCGUGACGGCGCGAGCAGGUGCGAAAGCAGGUCAUAGUGAUCCGGUGGUUCUGAAUGGAAGGGCCAUCGCUCAACGGAUAAAAGGUACUCCGGGGAUAACAGGCUGAUACCGCCCAAGAGUUCAUAUCGACGGCGGUGUUUGGCACCUCGAUGUCGGCUCAUCACAUCCUGGGGCUGAAGUAGGUCCCAAGGGUAUGGCUGUUCGCCAUUUAAAGUGGUACGCGAGCUGGGUUUAGAACGUCGUGAGACAGUUCGGUCCCUAUCUGCCGUGGGCGCUGGAGAACUGAGGGGGGCUGCUCCUAGUACGAGAGGACCGGAGUGGACGCAUCACUGGUGUUCGGGUUGUCAUGCCAAUGGCACUGCCCGGUAGCUAAAUGCGGAAGAGAUAAGUGCUGAAAGCAUCUAAGCACGAAACUUGCCCCGAGAUGAGUUCUCCCUGAGACUUAGAGUCUCCUGAAGGAACGUUGAAGACGACGACGUUGAUAGGCCGGGUGUGUAAGCGCAGCGAUGCGUUGAGCUAACCGGUACUAAUGAACCGUGAGGCUUAACCUU